CCCGAAUAGCUCAGCCGGUUAGAGCACUUGACUGUUAAUCAGGGGGUCGUUGGUUCGAGUCCAACUUCGGGCG
rnacentral:tRNA from 1 species